AGGCUGCACCUCUGCCGCUCAGACACUAGUCUCAACCUAGGUAAAGGGUUCAGUAAGCAUGAGGUUCCUUGUCUUUGCCUUGAUAAUGGCUCUCAUGGUCUCCAUGCUUACUGCUGAUCAUUCUGGAGAGAAACAUCAUAAGCAUGGUAAAAGAGGUCAUAGACAUCGUGAUCGCCGAUAUGUUCCAACUGAAACAGUAGACAGCGAUACUGAUCUUCCACCAUAUGAUAUUAGAAUACAACCUUAUCCUUAUCCUGAACCUUCUGGUUACUAACCACAGGAAAUUUGUAAGAGGAUGCUAUCAAGUUACUUCCCAUCAAUCAUGAUUGUUCAUCUUUCCUCGACACUUCCACACAAUGCUGAUAAAGAUGGCAAAUGAGGAAAUAUCUUCACUUAAAAUUUCUGUAUGAUUUUAGAUCUUCCACUUCAUACAUUAAACCCAAUAGCACCAAUGAUCCUGAUAGAAAUACAUUUAAUUAUGCAAGAAAAUAAAUAGCAAGUGCAUCA